AUCGUGAACUUGCAGGGAGAGGCGGUCCUCAUCCAGUGAGAAGUACCAAUUGUGAAAAGCUAACCUCAUAUCAAGCCUGGGAGAAAGAAGAGGGAAUUGUGUACUGACUUAAGAAAAGUGGCAGAUAAAAAUAAAACAUGCAUUUUGUUACACAGGAAGAUUUUAACGUAUAUAAAUAAAUUUUAUGAUGUUUAUUGAACAUGAAUUACAUUGGCAUACCUCGCUGCUUUUGCAUACUGACAACUGGUACCUGGUAAAAACAAGUUCUUGAAUGAAUGGCCCUCCACCAUUCAUUCUCACAAAAGUAGCUCUCCUUCACUUACUUUGGUUCUCAAAAGGUUACUAUCCAAACAACUACCUCUUGUGAAAAAAAGAGCGGAAGAAGAUGAAUUGUUUUUAAAACAAAGCUUGUCAGUUUUAGAAACAAACUUAACCAAUUUCAGUGUGUAGUAGGUAAUCAUUCAACAAAUAAGCGCCAAACAUGUAAACAGGUCUAAUUGUUGUUGUGAUAAGCCAUUUACUUGAAAGAUGCAUAUGGAGAUAACUAAGUCUGUAGUUAGCAUGAAGCAUGUUAAGUAAGAUUAACAUGAAUGACAAGUGUGGCCUCCAGAGUCAGAUGGUCUGAGUGUGAAUCUUACUGUCAAUCACUAACUGUGAGAUCUUGGGCAAUAUUUGUGCCUCAAUUUCCUCAUCUGUAAA
rnacentral:lncRNA from 10 species